AUUUCAAGAAAAAACUGAAGAAUCAGUCAUUGAACAGCAACCUGAUGUACCAGCAGUUAAGGAGAAACCUGAAGAACCAACACUUGAGGAGAAAACUGAAGUACUAGUUGAGGAGAAACCUCAAGAACCGGCGGCUGAAGAGAAACCUGAAAAAACAGUAGCUAUAGGAACAGCUGAAGAACUAGCACUUGAAGGGAAACCUGAAGAACUAACGGUUGAAGAUACAUCUGAAGAGCUACUUGUCGAAGAGAAAGAUGAAAAACCAGCAAUUAAAGAGGAGGAACCUGAAACGGAAGCUCUUCAGGAGAA
rnacentral:misc_RNA from 1 species